ACGCGCGUGCACGGUGGGCGCGCUCCCGCGGCGCGGGGCGGUGUGCGCGCUUUAAGACGGCGGGACGCGGUAAUGGCGCCCAUCCGCUGCUUUAAUCCGCUGCGUUUCACGGCCCGGCCCGGUUUUCGUGCUCUCCAUCCGCUGAAGGCUCCGGGAAAGGCGUUAAGGAACGGCUGGACGGCUUCAAGCGUGAUAGUGGGGUGGAAAUUCUUCCUGCCAUGAAACACACUGCUCUCUGAACACAUGACAAGGCAUUCUUCAUUAAGUAGAGUGUGAUUGUCUCACUCAGAGAGGAGCUACAAUCAUUCCGCCUUUUCCUGAGUGUGAUUUGAAUGUCAGGAUCAGCCCAAGAUAAUGCAGGAACACAAGCCGUGAAAUCAAGAAUUUAGAAAAAAAUGAGUGUCUUACCUUCAUUUCUUUUCCUACCAAGGGGUUCUGCCUUUUGUGGUCUGGGGUAGAGCUGUUUCUUGUGUUCAUAGCAACGUCUAUUCGGUCUCUGUCUUCAAGUAGCAGAGCAAUUUGCUGAUUAACUUCAAAGAGACACAGAGUGAGACUUUUUUCAUGAAAGGCUUUUUUUUUUCCUCCUAUGUUGGCAGACCUAGCUCCUGGCUUUGUGCUCUCUGGGGCAGUCAUUUAAUGAGCAGUCAGUGAAUCAAUCCUCACAAGAUAUGCAGACUAAAACGUUCAAAUGCAACUACCUGAACGGGAACAGAAAGCACCAAUGUGAAAAUGCAGCAACCCUUUUCACAGUGCCCAGUGUCAGUGUCAUGCUUGCUUAUCUCACAGGAAAUUCACACCAUGGAUUUGAAUUCAUUAUUUAAUCUAGAUAUUCUCAGUGAGAUGCUGGCUGUCAGAAGUGACUUCAUAUAUCAGUCUACAGGAAGCUGGAAAGGGGAGAAAUAGAUGAGAACGAGAAAUCUUGAAGGAAGGACCGGGAAACAGCAGAAUGGUUGGAUGCUGAGGAUCCUCCACCUGCACCAGUCAGAAUUCCCUGGCCUUGAGUCUGCAUUUGCUCCAUGAACUAAGCAAAACAGAGUAAACAAUAAUCAAAAUGUCAGUAUUAGACCUCCUAAAUCAGAAAAUGCGGUACUGAAGAGCCCACAGGAAGCCAGUAGACAAGGAGCAGUGGUGGAAUCUUGAAAGGAUUUAUCUGACCUAUGUGGAAGAGUGGCAAGAGUCAAUCAGAUUUACAGUAUGGCCAGGUUGGAUGGCUUCCCACAAGGGUAUUGAAAAGAACCCGAAGGCUGUGCGGCUUCUUUCUUUCUAAACUGUGAUUGCAUGACAGUUUAUUGGCCUCUGCCAGGAUAAAAAGGCAUGCAGACUUCUUAAUAAAGUAGCUGAUGAGCAGAAUUUCUUUUGUUGAUGAAUAAAUGUUUUUUCCUACCUCAUUAUUUUAAAUGUGGGGCUGUGUUCAGUUCAGUGUGUCUUUUUAAACCAGCCUGAUGGACUUGCUUGACAUGGACAGCUCAAAUGGUUUCAGUUUGGCAAAUUAGUGACCAACUGAAAACAUGAUCUUCUGGUGAUCGAAAAGCAUCAAGUGGGUGCAUCUGAGUAGAUGGGGCUGUGAUUGGAAUGAGGAGCUGAACUGCCAUGUAACCACAUCUGAAACAGAACACAGCUGGGCAGUGCUAGCACGGAAGGAAGGCUCUAGAGACUCCUCUCAUUAAAACAUCUCUCAGUAAUGAUUGUCAAAGGGAACUGUUCCUCUGUUCUGUGAAUACUACCAUGUGAUACAGGUCUUCUUGUCUCCAAAGGCGAGUGGUGGUAUAUGGAAUGAAAGCACCAUAACAGCCAACAGACUUGCAGUGAAAAAUCUGAAUUUUGGACAGGACUUUCUAAGCAAUCCAUGUCCAUGUCAGUCUGUGGAGUCCUUCUGAAAUGACUGGAGCAAGGAGCCUGCAGGCCUUCCCAAGAGCAGCUGUGGCUUUUUGAACCAAAGGCAAUAAAACUCUUAGACUCUGA